GACGAACGCUGGCGGCGUGCUUAACACAUGCAAGUCGAACGGAAAGGCCCUGCUUUUGUGGGGUGCUCGAGUGGCGAACGGGUGAGUAACACGUGAGUAACCUGCCUUUGACUUUGGGAUAACUUCAGGAAACUGGGGCUAAUACCGGAUAGGAGCACCUGCUGCAUGGUGGGGGCUGGAAAGUUUCGGCGGCUGGGGAUGGACUCGCGGCUUAUCAGCUUGUUGGUGGGGUAGUGGCUUACCAAGGCUUUGACGGGUAGCCGGCCUGAGAGGGUGACCGGCCACAGUGGGACUCAGAUACGGCCCGGAGUGCUACGGGAGGCAGCAGUGGGGAAUUUUGCACAAUGGGCGGAAGCCUGAUGCAGCAACGCCGCGUGCGGGAUGACGGCCUUCGGGGUGUAAAGCGCUUUCGCCUGUGACGAAGCGUGAGUGACGGUAAUGGGUAAGGAAGCACCGGCUAACUACGUG
rnacentral:rRNA from 1 species